UCAGCAGUCCAAGAAUAUUAGUCAAUGCUCGCAAGAGUGAACUAGCUAACUGAAAUCACAGGAUCCACUACGUGUGGUGAAUGUUAUAACGUAAGGGAAAAAAAUGAUAUUACCUUACUAUUAGUGUUGUCCAAAACUGGUGCCAGAAGACUCGGUAAGGCCAGAGACGCAAACGUUAGUCGUCCUAAUCAGGCGUAAAGGGUAAGUAGGCUGCUUUAAAAGUUUAGUAUAAUAUUUUAAUAGCUCUGUUUAAAUAAAAUAAAUAUCAUUUAUUUAACAGUAAAAUAUACAAUGAAUUAAAGCUAGGAUCAAAUUGAGGAUAAUUUAAAUAAUACUUAGUGUAGGGUUUACAUCUGGUGAUACUAAGGGGAGUACUAACGGUGAAAGCUUUUUAUCUAGAAAUGAUUGACGCUGAGGAACGAAGGUGAGAAUAGGAAAUAGGAUUAGAUACCCAGAUACCUCUCACAGUCAACGAUGAAUGGUGGUUGUUAGUUAGUUUUAUUUAACUGAUAACGAUGUUAACACGAUAACCAUUCCGCCUUGCGAGUACGGUUGCAAAACUGAAACCAAAAAAAUUAGUCGGUCUCGAAGCAAACGAAGUGAAGCAUGUUAUUUAAUUCGAUAAUCCGCA
rnacentral:rRNA from 1 species